AUUCACCAGAAAUGUAUGAGAGUUUCAGCUCUUCCAUAUCCUGGCCAAACUUGAUGAAAGAGCGAACAGGCCCUCUGUUACUGCAUUCUAGCCGGAAGCUGCUUGGCUGAGGCAAUUUGAUUCAGCCACAGAGAUACUUAAAGACCUCUUAUGAAGCAUUAUUGUUUUCUCAAAAAUCUGCCAUUCGCAUUGGAAGGAAUUGUAAUUGAGCCCCCAUCUUGCCUGUGGUAAAACUCAUUUACAUCAUCUUCCAAAAGACAACUAAUGAUGAGCAGAAAAAUAUUACAUUCAGAAGAAUCUGUUUCAAAAUGCUUUAGGCAGGACUUUCAAGUAUGAAAACAAUUCUCCGACAACAUUUUAAACGAAAAACGCUAAACUAUUCAUUGCAACACUGCACAACUGACUUUUGCAGACCUUCGACUGACUCAACAACUGUCGUUUGACCCAGAUAUCUUUGUAUGAUGUGUCUUUACAAAGGCCAUAGCAAAUAUUUCAACCAACUUCCUCAAGAUAUAAGCAGAAAUGUAGCACAGGAUUAAAAUACCAGGUGUGAAAUAUGGAAAUAGGAAAAACACAACAGUGUGGUGGAAGGAGCACUAUAUCAGAGCAAAUAGUGACAUUUUCUGCUGCUGCUUCUUCUACUUCCGUCUACAUAUUCCAGGAUCUCUUCAAUCUCCUUAACUUUCUCUAGGAAUGAUCUUACAUCCAUGUGUGUGACUGAGCAAGUGGAAGAAGCCACGGAAUAACACAGAUUAAGUUGUAUCAGUGAUGAUGGGAAUCAUUUCCACAAGAAGAUAGUGGUCCUUUCCCCUGAACUAUAAAAAUUGUGAUUUCAUGCACUCCAAGUUGAGAACUCAUGCGGGAUGCUGAGUUUACUAAACCCUAAUCAGUAUGGCAGUCAAAGAUUCCAUAGUGCCUGGCUGUUGAAUGGAAAGAUCAGUCUUCUCAAGAUGAUCAAAAUCUCCCAUAAGUAUAUUCACUGUGUACUUACAUGAAUACAUUGAUGUCAACUGAAAUAUAAUUUAUUUCAAAUUCUUUAUUUUGUGUGUCUAUUAAGUAUGCUUACAUUUUUAUGUCAACAUAGUUUCACUUUUUAUGUUAGAAAAUGCUAAGCAAUAAAUGCUACACCUGAAUGCUGAAAGAUAUUAGUGUUGCUUGAAGCUCACCAAAUAAACACACAGAUACUCCACUGGUAUAGUCCAGUCCUGACCUUCAGUGGAUAGGAAACUAUUCAGUGAAAUGUAAUGCACAGUACUGGAUUACAGUUAGUGGAAUUUUUCAAAGUAAAUUAUCUAUAUCUGUAUUACUUGAUUCAGCUUGAAUCCUCUUUUAAAUUAAGUAUGUUUUAACUAUUUUUUUUAUUAAUUACUGACAAACUGCUAUUUUACAGCCACUUCUGUUAUUCUUAUUAAACACAAAGUUUGCACUAUUUACAAAUGUGCAUUAAUAUGAAAUUAUUGGUUUCUGCAAUUUCUCAAAAAAAUUUCAUCAUGUACCUCAAAGCUAAGGUAGUUGGAGGUUCAAGUUCCAAUUAGAACUCAGUGCAAAUCCCUUCUGCAGAUACAAGUAUAGUAAAAUAACUAUUGCCUGGGAAUUUCAGAAAACUUUUAUAGCUCCUGCUAUUGCCUUCUUGCCAAAAUGAACUAUCUGUUCAUCUAUUCUAAAUUAGAACUGUGUAGUUAACAAAGAUCAAGAAGAUUAAAAACAUGGUGUGAGGUCAGUAUAGCAUAACAUUUAGUAUUUCCUUUUGUAAGUACUGCUCUCCUGUGCUUAGUUAAGUAUUAUUUAAGAUACUAUUGGAUCUUUAUAGAAUGUUCCCAUCAUUAAAAUUUAAUUUUGACACUACAAUACGUACAAAGUUCUGUCAAGUAUUAUUAAUGAUUAAACAAUGAGGAAAUAUGUUAUUACAGUGUGUUCAAUCUUUAAUGUCCAUUAAAUCCACUUGGUAAAUGUAAAUGUAAAUGAUACUAACUACAAUUCUCAUUCUCUAGUCCUUUACACAUUAUAAAGAAAUGAGGAUCCUAUAAUACCAAUCAAUAAGUGAUGAAAUCAAACUGUGUGUGGUGGCUGAAAUUGGAAUGGGCCUUUCACAGAAAUCUUAUCAUUCUCCUACUAGGGACAGUGCUGAACAGACGUUUCACCUCCCAUUUUGUAAGCAAAUGCCUAUGUGUGUAGCACUGUGAUUAUAUUUCUGUCGUGGGCCUUAGAUCAUCUUCAGCAUCAGAGAGUUCUAAAAAUCCCAUUAAGAAAUCAUUUCAAGGAAACAUAAAUGUUCUUAGAAAUAAUCUCCAAUGCUUUUCUAAUUUCUUAUAUUAAUGUCUCGUGCAACCCUCUUCUCAGAAUGGGUAAUAAAACCUCUUAUAUUUACGCACAGAGAGAUAUGUACAUUCAUCUUAUUUACUUCCUAUUUUAAUUGCUGUCCCAACUAAAUACAACACAUGUAAUGCAAAUGUUUGCCAAACUUUGUAUGGGUUGUACUUAACAUGUAUAAUACUGGCAUUUUAGCUGAAGUGAUCGUGACAAAACCUUCCUGAAUAAAAAUUACUUUUUUAGAAAGGAAACAAUUCUGUUGCAAAAUCAAGUUGUUACUUUUUCUUAUGAUUUUGUAGCCUAAUGAAAAAUGAAUACAUGAUGAAAUUUAACCCAAUUUCCUUUCACUUUUAAUUGAUCUUCGUGGGCUUGAGGGAAUUUGUCUUUAUAUUUAUCUCCCAGGGAGAAUUUCGACCAAAUUUUUUGAGUGAGUUAUCAUCAUUCAACUUUGCCUGGCUAAAAGCCCUAAAAUAGGGACAAAAUUUACAUUAAAUAUCUCACUUUCUAUUUUAGCAUGCUGUGGAUCAGCAGAAGGUUCAAGCUAACAUACUGAUUGUAAGGGUAAUGUAGGCAACGGGUAGUGAAGGCCUUUGUUAUCUUCUGAUAAGUUUGUUUUGAGUAUCAUUUUUCUCUUACAUGCUUAUUUUUGUUUCAAUUGUGAAGACUCACGAUUUACAGCCAUAAUCUUCCCAACUACAUUUAAAAUUAUUGCAUGUCAAAAAGUAUUGGCAUUUGACCAUUUAUUCAAUUAUUCUUGAUAGUCUGACAUGAUUAAAAGCACAAUCAUUCUACUCAAAUUACAAGAAGUCUGCAUCAUUUGAGGUGCCUGCCCGCUCCUAAUAAUACUCUUUCUUCUGAGAACAGAUUCACCCAACAUGUCCACUAUUCCUGUGCUCCAGAAAAAAUAAAAUAGAGUACUACCAGGGCGGUCCAACAGGUCCCUGCUCCCUGGCCGUAGACGAUAAAAGGGUAGGCAACUGCCCUGGGCUAGUUGGAAAUUCCUUCACAGGAAUUUAGAAGUGAGAAAGAGAAAGAUUGUAAUUCCGUCAGGACUGUUUGUUUGGACUUAGGUGGAUGCAAACCUGGAAGUGAAGGUGGAGAAGAGCUUCUUUAUAUUUGGAAAAAUGGAGAAAUCCAGUCUAUGGAGAGAAGGAAUAGCUGUACGGAGAAGGCAGAGAAGAGAAAGCAAGAGCAUGAGACCAGGGGACCUUGGCUAGUCUUCCUACAGCUUUCCAGUUCUCAGUUUUAC